rnacentral:rRNA from 1 species
UCUGAAUUGAUGCUUGCAAUUAAUGAAAGAUGAGCGGCGGACGGGUGAGUAACGCGUGGGUAACCUGCCCUAUACACAUGGAUAACAUACUGAAAAGUUUACUAAUACAUGAUAAUAUAUAUUUACGGCAUCGUAGAUAUAUCAAAGUGUUAGCGGUAUAGGAUGGACCCGCGUCUGAUUAGCUAGUUGGUGAGAUAACUGCCCACCAAGGCGACGAUCAGUAGCCGACCUGAGAGGGUGAUCGGCCACAUUGGAACUGAGACACGGUCCAAACUCCUACGGGAGGCAGCAGUGGGGAAUAUUGCACAAUGGGCGCAAGCCUGAUGCAGCAACGCCGCGUGAACGAUGAGGGUCUUCGGAUCGUAAAGUUCUGUUGCAGGGGAAGAUAAUGACGGUACCCUGUGAGGAAGCCCCGGCUAACUACGUGCCAGCAGCCGCGGUAAUACGUAGGGGGCUAGCGUUAUCCGGAUUUACUGGGCGUAAAGGGUGCGUAGGUGGUCUUUCAAGUCGGUGGUUAAAGGCUACGGCUCAACCGUAGUUAGCCUCCGAAACUGGAAGACUUGAGUGCAGGAGAGGAAAGUGGAAUUCCCAGUGUAGCGGUGAAAUGCGUAGAUAUUGGGAGGAACACCAGUAGCGAAGGCGGCUUUCUGGACUGCAACUGACGCUGAGGCACGAAAGCGUGGGUAGCAAACAGGAUUAGAUACCCUGGUAGUCCACGCUGUAAACGAUGAGUACUAGGUGUCGGGGGUUACCCCCCUCGGUGCCGCAGCUAACGCGUUAAGUACUCCGCCUGGGGAGUACGCACGCAAGUGUG